AGAUUUGUGAAGAGUGCAUUUGGAGGAUGCCUCGGCAGAGCAGAAAGGGACGUUCAACAUGACGAAACGGCAUGGGGAGGAAUCAACCCUGCGAUCUAUGCCUCUCCCAACGGGAAACCGAAAGGAAAAAAACUUAGCCAACUGAAACAUCUUAGUAGCUAAAAAGAAAAAAAUCAACAGAGACUCCGUAAGUAAUAGAGAAUAAAAGCGGAGAGGGCCAGCUUUUUUCAAAAUCUUCGGGGGAGUGAAGGAAAAUAUGGGAUACUCCGCCAGAGAGGGUGAAAGCCCCGUAACCCCCCCCGAAGGCUGUCUGUGGAAUGGGUGUCACCUUUGGUGCUAAUAAAAUCGAAGACAGCAGUAUUCAUAAAAUACUGAAUGGCAUCAGCAUCGAUGUAGAGCAGGACGUUUUAUUCGCUUCGCUAUACUGGCCCCUGUUACGCUCCCGGUUUACUGGAGCAGUUAAGGGGAAUUCGAGCCUGAGUUUCCAGAGUAUUGAAAAAAGACAUCAUCAAAUCCUUGCAAUCACUCUAUGAAAUUGUCCGGAGAAUUCCGGACCGCUUCCCACAGCAUCAUACACUGACCGCCUAACAUUUAGCCAGCUUCGCUGGCUAAAUGUUAAAAAAAGGGUAAGUGAAUUUCUUUAAAAGCCAACUUCCCGCAACGCUGCCUUUUUAAAAAGCCUGCUACAACGAAGCAGCAUCUUAGAUGUAAAGCGGUGUUACAUUUAAAAAGCGGAGUGGUUGCACCAAUCACCUCCCAACGCUACGCUUUGUAAAAGCCCAGCGGUGUGGGUAUUACAUUGAAAAAGCGUAGCGUUGAGAGGUUAAAAGCGCAGCCCUUCCAUUUAACCUGCUACGCUGGUAAUUGGUGUAAGGGGGGGUUACAGCGAAGCUGUUAGGCUAACGAGAAGGAACGUUUCAUUAAGAUUGAAUUAGAACCUUCCCCUCUCUUUUUCACAAGAGAAGGGGCGUUUCUAAAAAAAAGUGGAAAGAUGUGAGUACGACGGGGGCAAUCCUGUUGGAAGAUAGGGGGACCACCCCCUGAGGCUACCAAAUCUGCUCUGACCAAUAGUAAAUGAGUACCGUGAGGGAAAGGAGAAGAGAACCCUACCCAGGGAGUGAAACAGAUCCUGAAACCGAAUGCAUAAAAACAGUGGGAGCCUCCCCUCGUUUCCCCUCCACCGACUACCAGCAUAGCCGGUUAGAUGUUAGGGGAACGAACCCCUCGGUUUAAGAGGGGGGGUGACCGCGUACCUCUUGUAUAAUGGGUCAGCGAGUAAGAGAAGUUGGCAAGCUUAAGCCGAAAGGUGGAGGCGAAUAGAAAGAGGAAAAGAGAGUCAACUUCCCUUGACCCGAAACUAAGUGAUCUAGCCAUCACCAGGUUGAUAGGGAGGUAACACUUUCAGGAGGACCGAACCGGUGUCUGUGGCAGUAGACACGGAUGAGUGGUGGCUAGGGGUGAAAAGCCAAUCGAACUUAGAGAUAGCUGGUUUUUUGCGAAAUCUAUUUAGGUAGAGCGCUAUUCUAAAAAAGGGGGGGUAGAGCACUGUAUGGGGAAGGGUGGCCCAAAGCCUUACCGACUCCAAGGAAACUCCGAAUACCCUUUGUUUCUAGAGAAAAGCAGACAGACUCUGAGCGCAAAGGUUCAAAGUCAAAAGGGAAAAAGCCCAGAUCGUUUGCUAAGGUCUCCAAGAGAGAGUUGAGUGGUAAAGGAACUUUUUUAGCAGAGACAAUCAGGAGGUGGGCUUGGAAGCAGCCAUCCUUUCAAGAAAGCGUAAGAGCUCACUGGUCUAGCUAAAAGGGGCCGAAAAUGAAACGAGGCUAAAACUCUCCACCGAAGCAGCGGCUCCUUACUAUUUAGGAGGGUAGCAAAACGUCCUGUAUGCUGAUGAAGGAAAGGCGUGAGCCGAUGCUGGAAGUAUCAGGAGUGAGAAUGCUGACAUGAGUAACGUAAAAUCAUGUGAGAUCCAUGAUCGCCGUAAGCUCGAGGGUUUCCAUAAAUGUUUAUACAUAUGGAGUCAGACGGCCCCUAAGAGGAAAACGAAAGUGAACUUUGAUGGGAAGAGAAACUCUUUUGAAAAAGUGAAGAAUUUACUUUUUCAAAAGAGUUUCUAGUUUAAGUGACGAACCCUAGAGGAGGAGGGGGAAAUGGGAUCUCCCCCAAAAAAUUUUCAAGGGUUCCAGGAAAAAACUUAAAUUUUUGGCCUGUCCCUUCCAUUUAGCCUUACACUUACAGUUCUAAUGGAAGGGGAUUACAUUUACAAAGCGUAGCGUUGGGAGGCUAAAUGGAAGGGACAGGCCAAAAAUUGACCGUACUGAAACCGACACUGGUGAGCUGGUUUUAAAAAACUAAGGCGUAGAGAGAACCAUGCUGAAGGAACUCGGCAAAUUAACUCCGUAACUUCGGAAAAAGGAGGGCCAACCUAACUAUUAUUACGUUUGGAAGGUGGCACAGAAUUGGGGGAGGCGACUGUUUAUUAAAAACACAGGACUCUGCUAAAGGAAACCUGAUGUAUAGAGUCUGACACCUGCCCGGUGCUGGGAACCAAAGGGGAGAGCUUUACUAAGGGUUCAUAGCUAAGGGCUUGAACCCCCAAAAAUGGUUUGAACAGAAGGUCCAGUAAACGGCGGCCGUAACUCUGACGGUCCUAAGGUAGCGAAAUUCCUUGUCGGGUGGAUAGGAUCUUGCCCGAGUGGUUUGGCGACAAGCCACAAGUACACCAACUCAUAACGGUGAACCCUAAAACGAAGAAAUUUAGUCAUGGGAAUACCGUGGGAAGGGCUAACAGAUAGGACAAAGAAUUGUAAUACAAAAAAUUGUAAUACAAAGAAUUGAACGUUAGCUCACCCGUAACGACUGACUCGAAAGAGGAGGCAUGGAAAAAGUUUUUUGAAGCUUCUAGGUAUAGUCUGAUCAGUCUGGAAACAGGCUGGAACAUAAAUGAAGUUCCGACCCGCAUGAAUGGUGUCACGAUCUCCCCACUGUCUCCAGCAUGGCCUCAGUGAAAUUGAAUUCUCCGUGAAGAUGCGGAGUUUCUGAGAAAAGACGGUAAGACCCUAUGCACCUUUACUAUAAUCUAUUAUUGAGUGGGGGACAAGGUUGUGUAGAAUAGGUGGGAGAGUCUUAGCGACCAGGCUUCAUCUCCUUUUCUAGUCAUCGUGCGAAACUUUUCUCUACCUUGUAGAGAACCGGUUUCGUUAAUGCUGGAAGGCUGAGACUCGGCAGUGAAAUACCACUCUUCCUCUCUCCCCACUCUCACCUGCUUCAGCUUUAUAUCUUUUUACACCUUGAAUAUGCCUAUGUAAAAGAUAGGGGUUCGCUCCCCUUGCAUCGCAGAUGUAGGGGACGAAAGGGUUUGUAAAAAUCCGACUUGAAGAGAAAAAGAGUAAAGAAAGGGACAGUUAUAGGCUGGUAGUUUCAUUGGGGCGAUGGUUUUCUAAAGAGUAACGAAAGCGUGCGAAGGUAGACUCAACCCCGUCGGAAACGGGGUGAAGAGCGCAAUGGUAAAAGUCUGCCUGACUGUGAGACUUACAAGUCGAACAGGGACGAAAGUCGGCCAUAGUGACCCGGGAGCACCGAGUGGAAGGGCUCUCGCUCAACGGAUCAAAGGUACGCUAGGGAUAACAGGCUGAUGACUCCCAAGAGCUCAUAUCGACGGAGUCGUUUGGCACCUCGAUGUCGACUCAUCGCAUCCUGGAGUUGAAGAAGAUUCCAAGGGUUCGGCUGUUCGCCGAUGAAAGCGGUACGUGAGUUGGGUUUAGUACGUUGAGAAACAGUACGGAUCCUAUCUUUCUCAGGUGAUUGAAAGAGGAGAGAGUUUUCCUCUAGAAAGCUUUCUAGAGGAAAACUCUCUCCUCUUGUAAAGAUUGAGGGAGCCAUUCUUUUGUACGAGAGGACCAAGAAUGAAAAACCUCUGGUGAACCAGUUGUCGCGCCAGCGGCACCGCUGGGAAGCUACGUUUUCAGGGGAGAACUACUGAAAGCCUCUCAAGUAGGAAACCCCAUCCCAAAACAAAUCUCUCCGGUCGUAGAAGAUGACUACGAAAUAGGCAAGGAGUCCAAACUUCAAGAGGAUACAGCUUCCUUGUACUAAUAACCCGUGAUUUUUUAUUUA
rnacentral:rRNA from 1 species